UACAGAGGUCCCGAGCGUUGUUCGGAUUCACUGGGCGUAAAGGGUGCGUAGGUGGUGAGGUAAGUCGGAUGUGAAAUCUCCGGGCUCAACCCAGAAAUGGCAUUGGAAACUACCUUGCUAGAGGAUUUGAGGGGGGAUUGGAAUACUUGGUGUAGCAGUGAAAUGCGUAGAUAUCAAGUGGAACACCUGAGGCGAAGGCGGGCUACUGGGCCGAUACUGACGCUGAUGCGCGAAAGCCAGGGGAGCGAACGGG
rnacentral:rRNA from 1 species